rnacentral:lncRNA from 1 species
CUCAUUUGAUUGGGACAUUUCAAUACAUCUUCUAUAUUUUGGUUGUAUGUGUAUUUUCUUUUUUGUUGUGUUUUAAACAGUCUGAACCUUUAAAAUACACAAUCAGUUUUUUCUCUCCCUCUUUGGGGGGGAGGUGCAAAAUGAGAUGUUUUGCUUAGUUUCGAGAAGAAAAUACCUUUCUUUGCAUUUUUUCUUGUUAAUAAGGUUCAUUAUAGAUCUAAUUAUUUUCAUUCUAAGACUUUUACACUCUGCAGCAGAUACCUGGCAUAUGUUUCAGAGCAGCUCCCUGUCUGGGUUGAGCAUCGGGUAUGAGUCUCUGCCUUUUGUUUGGGUUCUUUUAAACACUAGAAGUUGCUGAGGCACCUUCUUCUAAUUUUCCCUUGCCUGUUUGUUUACCUCAUGCAUGUUCACACAGACUUGGCUCAGGCCUAUAAAUCCAGUCUGUGGAAGCUAAGUGACUGUCAGCCUGCACCAGGGCCUGCCGCAGCGUCUACCCCUUGCUAAGGGUUUAGGGGGUCGAAGGGAUACGCUAUGAAAUGUGAAUCCAUUUCCUCAAAUUCUGGGGUUUUGUUUUGUUUAGGUGAAUGGGGAACAAAUCCAACAAAAUAAUUCUUAGUGUUUUUCCUUUGUAGUUUAACAGUUUUCAAAGAGUCAGCCUCAGGACUGACUACUUUGUUGGCUCUAGUCCUCCUUUCUGCAGCCUCUGCCUACGUUUAGACUGGCUCCUCACUCAGCCUGAAACAGUCCAGCAGCACUAAAAAUCUGGCAUAUUUUCAAAGCAAUUUGACUUGGUCUUCAGAAGGCAAGGGUGGAGGUGAGCCAAAGAAUGUUUAUUUUUUCUGAUUUCAUGUGGCAGAUAGAAUGACCAUCCCAGACUUUUCAAAUAGUCUGAUCAAGAUGACUUUUGACCCUCAGAAACAAUCCAUUCAGCCUAGAGACUAAGCUGUGCCUCUGUCCUUAGCUGCCUCUGCUGAGCGUCUAACUGAGAUGUGGCGGGGAGCAUCCUCGUCCAUGUGUUCUGUUCUUAUCACUCAGGAAAGUACAUUCUUUAGGUUAAUGUAUUGGGGCAAACACUAAAAGUAACAGUAUGUGAGACUAGGUUUUCAGUUUCACUCUUUUCAGAAAAAACAAUGUAGUGAUAAGAAUCUACUCUAAAAUCAUGCUGUAGAUUAUAAGGCAUAACAGAAAUGACAAGAUGCAGUCACUGCACUCAUGCCACUUAAAACAGUGGGUCCUGUGGAUAGAACGGAAUCUUAAGAAUAGCCUGCUGAGUGCUGAGCAUCCUUUCAUUUAUAAGAAAUUAAACUCAGAAAUACUAAAUACAGUUCCUGAAUAUGAUUUCCUGUUGGUUAUCUAUACACUCUAGAAGAUUC